rnacentral:rRNA from 1 species
UACAGAGGUCCCGAGCGUUUGUUCGGAUUCACUGGGCGUAAAGGGUGCGUAGGUGGCAUGUUAAGUUUGAUGUGAAAGCUCAGGGCUCAACCCUGAAAUGGCAUUGAAUACUAGCGUGCUGGAGGUUUGGAGGGGGACUGGAAUUCUCGGUGUAGCAGUGAAAUGCGUAGAUAUCGAGAGGAACACCAGUGGCGAAGGCGAGUCCCUGGACAACACCUGACACUGAGGCACGAAAGCUAGGGGAGCAAACAGG